rnacentral:rRNA from 1 species
GAUGAACGCUGGCGGCGUGCUUAACACAUGCAAGUCGAGCGAGAAACUACAUGCAGACACUUCGGUAGAAGCGAGUAGCGGAAAGCGGCGGACGGGUGAGUAACGCGUAGGCAACCUGCCCUUCACAGAGGUAUAGCCUCGGGAAACCGGGAUUAAAACCGCAUAAAAUCAUAGGUUCGCAUGAACCAAAGGUCAAAGAUUUAUCGGUGAAGGAUGGGCCUGCGUCUGAUUAGCUGGUUGGUAGGGUAAAAGCCUACCAAGGCGACGAUCAGUAGCCGACCUGAGAGGGUGAUCGGCCACAUUGGAACUGAGACACGGUCCAAACUCCUACGGGAGGCAGCAGUGGGGGAUAUUGCACAAUGGGGGAAACCCUGAUGCAGCAACGCCGCGUGAGGUAUGAAGGCCUUUGGGUUGUAAGCCUCUGUCCUAGGGGAAG